rnacentral:rRNA from 1 species
CCUACGGGAGGCAGCAGUGGGGGAUAUUGGUCAAUGGCCGGAACCCUGAACCAGCGACGCCGCGUGAGUGAAGAAGUAUUUAGGUAUGUAAAGCCCUGUUAGCAGGGAAGAAAGCAACGACGGUACCUGACCAAGAAGCCCCGGCCAAGUACGUGCCAGCAGCCGCGGUAAUACGUCGGGCGCAAGCGUUCGGCGGAAUUACUGGGGGUAAAGGGAGCGUAGGUGGCUGUGGAACUCUGGAGGUAAAGGCGGGGGGCCAAACCCCGGACUGCUGUGGAAACUGUAUGGCUGGAGUGCAGGAAGGGUAAGCGGAAUGCGUGGUGUAGCGGUGAAAUGCGUAGAUAUCAGGAGGAACUCCAGUGGCGAAGGCGGCUUACUGGACUGUAACUGACGUUGAGGCACGAAAGCGUGGGGAGCGAACAGGAUUAGAUACCCUGGUAGUC